rnacentral:rRNA from 1 species
GUCUACGGCCAUACCACCCUGAACACGCCCGAUCUCAUCUGAUCUCGGAAGAAAUACGCUGUUACAGUCUCUUUCUGUUUUGAUUGACUAUUGGGAAUUUGUUGCAUGCAAAUACUUGUCAGGGCUGUAGGCU